AAGGAGUGGAAAGAGUAUCUGAGCCAAACCAAACCGUUUGCAGAUAAAAGCGGAGUCGGAAGUUUCAGCUGAUCGCAGCGCUGAUCCCAAUUUGAUGUUAUUUAAUUUUUUAUUAAUGUUCUAGUAUUGAUAAAUAUUUUCAAGAAAGUUGUUCGGACAUAUUUAGAUCAUGUUAUUCAAGUCCCAAUUCAGUUCAGAAUUAAAUGAUAUAUGCUUGAGUUCUACCAGUUGUUCAGAGGACAGAGGAGCACUACGUUUUGGACUUGCUAGCAGUUUAAUGCAGCACAAUGACUGUGGAGUUCAUCUAGUUGCAGUUAAACCCAGAGUUACAAGACCUGUGUCACCCUGAACGUUGAGAUUGCUUGACGUGCUUGGAACAGAGCCUUGGCAAGGGGAUGGUGAUCUUUGCUAAUAAUGUCAAACUAAGGUAUAAUAUUUCAUUAUUUUUCUUUUAUAUUUUUUUUAGGAGUUAAGCAGAAUAAAGAAUGUUUUAAAAUGUUGGUGUUGGUGAAUAAACUUUGGUUACAAGAUGAAAAUGUAAAAUACAUUUAUAUCUUUUGUUCUUGAGUUUUGUGGCAGUUAAAUGUAAUUUUCUUAAUGUAACCGCCGCUGUGAGGUUAAAACCUUUGGUAAACAGUUAUAAUUAAUAAUAGUAAUUUAUUUAUUUA